GAGGAAGCCUUUGGAAAAGAUAGGGAUGGCAAAGCCUGAGAGCAGUGAUGGGCAGCUGGCACAGAAGGUGUUUUGCACUGAGGGAGCAUCUAACAAGAGAUUAGAAACAAAAAAGGCAACAGGGCUGAAGAAGAAUGAGGUUUAUAUCGGAAACCUGCCAUCUGAGAGCACAGAGGAUCAGAUCGUGCAGCUGUUUGCAGCCUAUGAGCCCAUGAGGGUUCACAGAGUAGUAUCGGGGUUGAAGUGGUAAGCU